CCUAGAAAUCACGAGAAAAUUUCAUCGAAUACCCAAAGUUGUUGUUAAUGAGGAAAAUGCAGGAAAGUGACAGAAGUGUCCCUGUAACUGAACAACCACGACAACGAUGACUGGCGCUGUUUAACAGAGAUGCAACUUUGUUCACUUGUAGUCAUGUUUUCUCCUUAACUGUUGAUUUGUUUACAGUUUGUGUUGUGUCUCCCUCUUUUGUAUGAGGGAAGUGCAACUCAGGUAGGGGACAGAACCUAGAGCCAGAGGACAACACUGAUAUUUUACACGAUCGACAAGGUGUCACCACUUUGUCCACGACAUCGUCCAUGAUUACCGAGACGUCAUCCACGAUUGCAGAGAGUCCUCGUACAAUGAAGUUGUUCUUUCAGACCAAGACAGAGGCCUCCAGGUAAUUCACAGCUAGGUGUCACCACUUCGUCCACAAGAUCAUCCACGAUCACAGAGACAUGGUCCAUGAUCGGAGAGACAUUGUUGAGGAUGAGGGAGACAUCGUCCACGAUCAGAGGCAUUGUCCAUGAUCGCAGAGACCUUGUCAAAGAUGAGAGAGACGUUGUCCAUGAUCAGAGACAUUGUCCCAUGCUUCGUAGAGACCUUGCGAUAGAAUCGGCGGAGACGGGGGUCACCGAUUUGACGGCACUGCCCGCGAUCAUGGAAACAUUGUUAAUGAUUACAGAGACAGCGUCUAUGAUCUCAGAGACAUCGUCCACGAUCACAAAGACAUUGUCCAUGAUCGCAGAGACUUUGUCCAUAAUCUCAGAGACAUUGUCCGUGAUCACAGAGACCUAGUCCGCGAUCACAGAGAUGUAGUCCAUGAUCACAGAGAGUCUUUGACAAUGAAGUUGUUCUUUCAGACCAAGACAGAGGCCUCCAGGUGUCACCACUUCGUCCACAAGAUCAUCCACGAUCACAGAGACAUGGUCCAUGAUCGGAGAGACAUUGUUGAGGAUGAGGGAGACAUUGUCCAUGAUCAGAGGCAUUGUCCAUGAUCGCAGAGACCUUGUCAAAGAUGAGAGAGACGUUGUCCAUGAUCAGAGACAUUGUCCCAUGCUUCGUAGAGACCUUGCGAUAGAAUCGGCGGAGACGGGGGUCACCGAUUUGACGGCACUGCCCGCGAUCAUGGAAACAUUGUCAAUGAUUACAGAGACAGCGUCUAUGAUCUCAGAGACAUCGUCCACGAUCACAAAGACAUUGUCCAUGAUCGCAGAGACUUUGUCCAUAAUCUCAGAGACAUUGUCCGUGAUCACAGAGACCUAGUCCGCGAUCACAGAGAUGUAGUCCAUGAUCACAGAGAGUCUUUGACAAUGAAGUUGUUCUUUCAGACCAAGACAGAGGCCUCCAGGUGUCACCACUUCGUCCACAAGAUCAUCCACGAUCACAGAGACAUGGUCCAUGAUCGGAGAGACAUUGUUGAGGAUGAGGGAGACAUCGUCCACGAUCAGAGGCAUUGUCCAUGAUCGCAGAGACCUUGUCA